GACAGAGGUUGCAAACGUUGUUCGGAAUCACUGGGCAUAAAGCGCACGUAGGCGGUCUGUUAAGUCAGGUGUGAAAGCCCCCGGCUCAACCGGGGAACAGCAUCUGAUACUGGCAGACUCGAGGAUGGUAGGGGUGAGUGGAACUCCAGGUGGAGCGGUGAAAUGCGUAGAUAUCUGGAGGAACACCGGUGGCGAAAGCGGCUCACUGGACCAUAACCGACGCUGAGGUGCGAAAGCUAGGGUAGCAAACGGG
rnacentral:rRNA from 1 species